GUGAGUGAUGGAGGAGGAUAUAUACUGCUGUGUACUCGACCAGCGGGCGAGAGCAUGUCUGGUAAAUGCCAGUCGCGGAAAGUUCCUAAUAUGGUGGUAAAUUCUCCCUCGGCUGGCACUGCUCUCCAGCCCGGAUGUUGAUUGGUUAAGUCUUGAACUGCCUCCCAACAUGCAGUGAGGAACGUGGAAAGCUCCCUGAAUUGGCACAUGAUGAUGGUGAUUAUGAUGCAUGGACUGGCUUGGAGUGAGGCUCCUUUACUCUGCAAAAGG